CGCCAGCGGGUGGACUCGAACCACCAACCUUUCGGUUAACAGCCGAACGCGCUAGCCGAUUGCGCCACGGAGGC
rnacentral:tRNA from 13 species